AGCGAACGUUAGCGGCGCGCCUAACACAUGCAAGUCGCACGAGAAAGGGAGCAAUCCCCGGUACAGUGGCGCACGGGUGAGUAACACGUAGAUGACCUUCCCUGGAGUGGUGGAUAACCUGCCGAAAGGCGGGCUAAUACAGCAUGGGACCACAUGGUUUUUGACCGAGUGGUGAAAGCGGGCCUCUGUUCACAAGCUCGCGCUCUGGGAUGGGUCUGCGUCCCAUCAGCUAGUUGGUGAGGUAAUGGCUCACCAAGGCAUCGACGGGUAGCUGGUCUGAGAGGAUGACCAGCCACACUGGAACUGAGACACGGUCCAGACUCCUACGGGAGGCAGCAGUGGGGAAUCUUGCGCAAUGGGCGAAAGCCUGACGCAGCGACGCCGCGUGGGUGAUGAAGGCCUCGGUUGUAAG
rnacentral:rRNA from 1 species